UUCAUAACUUUUUCCAUUGAUUUAAACUGUUUAUAAUUUAGUACAUUAUAUAUAGAUUAUCAGUAAUGUCUAAUAUAAUGUUGAUUUUUUUAUCGUUUGUCCAAAAAUACAAAUUUCUAUAUAUGCUUUACAUAAAUAGGGUAGAAGUUGUUUGGUACUAAUGAUCUUCGGGGUUUUCAUAAUGUUAUAUGCUUUCAGUGACUAGUGUCAUUACUUUUUGAGUCUUUUCCCAUGCGGUGGACCCACUGGCCUCUUCAUAUAUGGUUACUGCUUGUAUUAUUACUACGCCCGAUCAGAUAUGUCUCGUUUUAUGCAAACGUCAUUCUUCUUCGGUUACAUGGCCUGCAUUUGCUGCUGCUUCUUUCUCAUGCUUGGCACCGUAAGUUUCCGCACUGCUUUGCUGUUUUUUUCGUCAGUAUGAGUACGUGGUCGGUUGAUCGUUCUGUUGAAUAGGUCAUCGUUUAUUCCUUUUUUUUAUCAUAGGAAAGAGUCGUGAUUUUUGUUAGAAGGUAGGCGAGAGGGUGCAUUCCGAAGCAGAGGAAGCAGCGAGCUUUCCCGAGUCAAGUCUUUCGAGGCCUCUGUUGAGCGUUUGCUUUAGGCGUUGGGAAACUUUGGGGCAAUUUAGAGUUUGCCUUAACUAUUAUUCACUAGGUGUAUGUAAUAGAACAGAAGCAUUAAUGUGGGGGAACAGAAGAGCUUGUUGUAUGGCCACAUUUUACCUAACUCUCUGAAAUGACUUUUUUUUCCAUAUUAGCUUACCCUUAUUGCUUUA